AGCAAAAGUUUUCCUCUUGAUUUUUUUCCCCUUUAACUGUUUGUUUUUAACUAUUUUGCAGUAGAGGUCUACAGUGGAUUCAGCAUUAUGAAAGCAGAUGAGAUCUGUGUGAUUGAAGUGCCUAAGUACUUAAGAAGAAGUGUGAGCUCAUCAGAGUGCCAUAUGGAGUCAACAGAAAGCAUUAAAAGGUUUUUCAGGAAGGAGAGCAUCAAAGUUCAUUAAGAACUAAAGGGCAGCUUUGAAGGAAGGCUGGAAGCACGCGCGCUUGGCUGGAGACAACGUGGAUUCCUGCAGUCCUCAUAAAAACAGUGCCCGUGGCUGAGCUAAAGUUUUGAAGUGCAAGGAUGGGAGACUGGUAGUUCACCCUCUCGUUAAAAGUUAUUCUCAUGUGCAAAUCUGGAUUCCUGGAGUCCUUCAGAGACAUCAGGUGCACAGGGGACGCUGAUGGAGAGGUUGUGGCGAUGAGACCUGACAAGAGGUUGAACCCAGCGUGGCAGCCGGCUUCCCAAAGUGGCGAGUCAUCAUACUUCAGACUGCUCAGUGAUGUAACAACUACGUUUGUAAUCAAUGCAAUAGCAAGCGACAGGAAAUUUAGAAGAAUAUGGGAAAAACAUCAAAUACUUCAAUGAGAUAAACUGGUGUUGCACUGGAGUUUUCAGUUGGCUUUGCCUGGGCAGGAAGACCUCAACAGCCUGCAUCUGGAAGCAGCACCGUAGCUCCUGCGCUCUACCGCUGGCUGCAGUGCCCUUGUCACCAGUGUUCCCAGCUCUUUGAUUUAGCUGUUUGAUUGGCAGGCAAAACUUUGAUGACCCGAAAGACUGUCUGGUAUUCAAGACAUAUUUGCUAUCAGUUUGGAAGCACCAUCUUCUUUAUCAUCACUCACUCCCCAGCGCUAAUCAGAGGAUUAAGUUAUUGACUUAGCUAUGUUUUCUCGAUACCAGUGUGUAAGCUGAUGCAGAAGAUGUGUACAAGGAGUGCAAUGCAAGCGAGAGAGGACAAGUUAUAUUGUCAUGUGUGAACCCUGGCUGCGCAAACACUUUACAAGCGUACAAGAACAUGACAUUUCUAGAUUCACCUAUGAAAGGUCUUAUUUGCACAUCUGUUUGUGUGUUGCAGAUGCUAUUUAAUUGUAAUCUCUGUUUUAUGAGAUUACACUGUAAAUUAUCCAAUUGUUUGGGAGGGUUUCUAGGUCACCAUUCACAGCGAUUUAAUAUUCUGGGACCAGACCAGAGGGAAUUUGAUGACUUCUGUGCCAUCAGUUUUAGUUUCCUGUUAUCAUUUUUGUAAAUGGCAAAGGAGAGGGAGGAAGGGAUGAAGGAAGCAGGAAGGAUGCACUUGAAAACGGUAAGGUUUUUCCCUGUGUUAUUUCUGUGGAAUUUCCAGGACUUCACUGUGCUAAUGAAUAGGCAUCUCUCCAAUUCCAGCAUAACGAAUUUUUGAAUAGCAUAUACCCCGCUGUUCAUGUGCCUACAUGUCCUUCGGUUAAUCUUUCUUAUCUGCCAUCGGUAAUCCAGAACAUAUAUUAUCUCUUCCACGGGUGCAGAUGCAGCUUAGAUCCAAAAGCACUAUCUGUACCUAGGACUGGAAGCAUGAGGCAAGGGAGGAAGCCAUCAGGAGCAGAUAGAUCGUUAAAUGUAUCCUCACUGAGUGAGCUCAGACCAGUGACUUGAUAACAUCAUCCUGCUGGGUCUGAGGCGAAUCCAAGCAAAACUCCUACUUUUGCAUGUCUGCCACGUGACAAAACCAUCUAAUUUUCAGAUUUUUCUUGUACUGAAAGUGAACAUCAGUCAACAAGAUUUUGGAGAGCUAGCGGGGUGCAGAUAAGGUCAAGCACGAUGUUAACGUAGCUUUUCCUCCUUCCUGUUGUGUCAUAUGUUAGCUGUUAUUACGUCAUGGGCCAAAGUACCUGAAACAAGUUGUGUUCUCCCUGCCAUACUACAGCAGUAACAGACAAGAAAAGGUAAGAUAGUAUGGAAAAUGAAGAUUUAAAAAUUUCUCUUCCCUUUCCUGGGCACUGGCCAGUAUGUUAUUCCCAUGUCUAGAGCAGGUAUGCAUGUGGGUAUCAGCAAUUAAGAA